UUGGCGUCCGGAAAUACAACUGUGGCCUGUGGCCAUCAUUUGCAUAUCAUUUCCAUUUUGUAUUAAAUUUUCUAUUUGAUUUUUGAGAUUUUAAGAAGGGUAGCUGGAAAUGGAGGAGUGCCGGCAUUUGUUAAUAUUCUGAUUUUGUUUUGUGUUAAGUGUCCAUAACGGCACUGGGCGGAGGUACUGGUGAGAGAAGAUAAUUGUAUGCUCUUUUAAAGUGGAAAUCUGUUCUCUACAAGAUGAAUCCAUCACACCAUUGAAUUUAUAAUUUGACCUCAUGUAGGUUCAUUAUAUCCUCCACAACUAAGGAAUUAAUGUUCAAUACAAAUAAAACUAUGAAAAAUCAAGUACACAAAUGACGUAUGGUCA
rnacentral:lncRNA from 1 species